GAUGAUGAUCCCAAGCCUUCAGGCGUUCUGUUUAUCAAAUUUCGAAAGCGUUAAAAAACACUUGAAAGCGUUUAAAAGACCUUCAAGUGCGUUUAGGAAACAGCUCGAAAGUGUUUAAGAAACAUUUAAAUGCGUUUAAAAACAUCUAAAGAAGGUGUUAAAAAAACAAAUAUGUUUCUUAAACAUAUUUUUUAUCUGUCCCGAGGAAGGUUUUUACCAAUACACUCCUGAGGGCUUGUAGCUCAGUUGGUUAGAGCGCGCGCUUGAUAAGCGUGAGGUCGGAGGUUCAAGUCCUCCCAGGCCCACCAAUUAAUGAUCGCUAAUAAAGUUUGCUGAUAAAUUUUUUGCAGACCUUUUGAUGGUCUUUUAUGGUGCAAUCUUUUAUUUUUAUGCUGCAAUCUUUCAAAAGUAUUUGAACUAUUUUAGGGGCCGUAGCUCAGCUGGGAGAGCACCUGCUUUGCAAGCAGGGGGUCGUCGGUUCGAUCCCGUCCGGCUCCACCAUCUUUGGUCAUCGUCAUCGUUAGAGAGCACUAUUUGCAAUAGAUCUAUAGAUCUUAAGUCUAUCAUCUGUUGCCUGUUCU
rnacentral:tRNA from 2 species